CGCUGCAUCACGGGAGAGCGUCGCCGCCCACGCCUCGGAUACGAGGUCACGCGGUGACCGCCGAAGGAGCAAUACCUCUCCGUCAAACUCUCAGGCACCCUGGACCGUGAUGGACGA
rnacentral:ncRNA from 2 species